UUUUGCGUAGCAAGUAUGAGUUUUGGAGCAUGAAAAAGUGUGACCGUCUGACUCUCAGGGAUGUACCUACGAAAACGAACUUAACCCACCUAGCCCGCCGCUAUUUAAACAGACGAAAUCUUUGAGCUAAACCGCGAAAAAUAAUUGUUGAGUUAUGGAGUUAGGGGCAUAGGAGCAUAGUGCCCUCCUCUUCCCUCCUGCGCGACGCUUUACCUCAUCGGCUUGGACCGGCUCUAUUUGGCGAGACGCUUUCUGGACACAAACUGAUAUUCCGCGAUCCCCUCCUCUAGCCCCACCCGCAGGUCGCACCCUCGGGUGGCUAGGAAUUCCUCUUGCGUGCCCGCGGUCAGCGAUAUGUAUACCAUCGUUUACCAGGGGCUUCACGCUUCUGGUCUUCCGGUUCAUAUGAUCGAGUGCAAUUUGACUGCAGAAAAUAUCCUUGAUCCUUGGCCCAUGAUAAGGACCAAAUGAAGUAUUUUUGUCUUACGAUCACAGGAAGCUGUCGCACUCCAAGGUCGGACCACAAAUAACAAAGAAAUAAAAAUAUGCAUGCAUUAUGAAAUUUGCCAAAAAUCGGCAGAGAUUUGAUGCCGCUCAACAGUGUGGAUCCUCACGAUCCUGGGAGAGUUGGUCCUUCAACAAUCGUCCCAUAAAGAGAUAUAGCCUUUUGAAGAUUUAGAUUUCAUAUGAAUACUGGUUCUUUCUGAACGCUAUAUCUCUACUAUACGGCAGCCGAUCGGAGUACGGCAUGUCUUUUCGAGAUCGGGAGGGUCCUGCCAAUCGACUGCCAUCGGAAAAAGGGACAUCCAUUUUUUCACGAUUUUCGCAAAAAAUCAUGAUGGUUACAUCAUGAAAUUUGACAAAAAUCGGCCUCAUUUUCAUAGUCGAGAUUUUGAUGCCGCUCAACAGUGUGGAUCCUCACGAUGCUGGGAGAGUUGGUCCGUCAACAAUCUGGCCCUAUUUAUCCGGGAUAUAGCCUUCCGAAGAUUUCCAUAUCAUUAAAAUACUGUUACUUUAUUGAACUCUAUCUUUCUUUUUAGCAGGUCGCACCCUCGGGUGGCUAGGAAUACCUCUUGCGUGCCCGCGGUCACCGAUUCGCUUGUUUACCAGGGGCAUCACCCUUUUGGUCUUCCGGUUUAUAUGAGCGAGUGUGCGAUGAUUCCGGUCGCGCGCGGCUGGGGCCUUUUGUCCGACAUUUUGGUCCGGCCACUACCAUGGCCCUCUUCCCUGCAUGCCACGCUGUUUUCUUCGUCUUUUCAGUUCGCUCGCUGUCGGUAACUCCUCGUCCUCUGUGGCAGCCACUGACUGGCCUAUCCUGAUGACGCUGCUGUGUAGCUGGCCCUGCUAGUGGCGCCCGUCCGCUGCAGCAGUGACCAGUGAUCGACGGCGGAGUUGUUGGUUCACGCCAACGGGAAAUAAUGUCAGCAACCCCGCUUUCAUAAACUGCCGAAUCAAACGCUGGGCUUCAGCUUCACGACACAGGACUUACUUAUGUACCCUACGCUUUGCCACAAGCCAUGUCGUAUCUGAUUUGACCCAGCCAGACGGUCCUAUCCAAGCAUGAGCGAGGCGUUUUCGAGUCAGACCGAGUAUCCCAUUGCAAGAUUCAUACCUAAAAAGCCAUCGUCAUCCUUCAACAUGGUGAUCGACAACAAGGACUUUGAUUAUGGCCACCAAGGGAAGCGCUACGCGGGACGCUAGAUACACGCAUCCAUUCAUUCAGAUAGUACUUAAAAAAUGUUUUCCACUUGUUUAUUUAUUUAUACUAAGCUAAGUUUUGAUGAAUAAAACUAUUGAAAAAUCA